UGUGUGUGUGUGUGUGUGUGUGUGUGUGUGUGUGUGUGUGUGUGUGUGUGUGUGUGUGUGUGUGUGUGUGUGUGUGUGUGUGUGUGUGCGUGCGUGCGUGCGUGCGUGCGUGCGUGCGUGCGUGCGUGCGUGCGUGCGUGCGUGCGUGCGUGCGUGCGUGCGUGCGUGUGUGCGCACAUGCUAUGUUCAGUGGGCGUACUAGAUUUUAUUUGUCAGUUAUACAGGUCCAUUUUGUCUUAGCUUUCACUACAUGUAUGUAUACAAUCAUGUGCAGUGCUUACAGCUACAUGUACGUGUAUUUAUACCCUCCCCUUGUGCAGUGAUUGGGUGAGUCUGGAGGCUGUAGGGCUCUCACUGGGUGUGGUUUUGAAAAGGUUCCUCUCUAAAACAGUCAACUCUCUCUUCACCAAUCUCCUGGAACUGGCCAAAGCUAUCUGCACUAGCCCUGCUAACACACUCGCUUUCUACCAACUCGUAUUUCUCCUGACACUGGAAUUCUCUUAUCAAGGGCUCUCGGAUAUACUGGUCUUCCUACACCAGCUGCAAGAGCUUGCUGUGAAGGAGAAAGGCCUUAAGGCACAUCACAGAGUGGUGCUACAGUGGCGGGUGUGCUGCAUCUAGCGUCCAAGAUCAGUCGAAAUGAGGUACUCAAGACGACGCACAUUGAUGGAGUGAUUGCUAAGAGGAGGGAGACAGCUCCGAAGGCUAUGGUGGGACAUUUUUCUAGAGGGAGUGGUAGUAAGAAGAAGUGCAGUCAUCUAGACAUGGAGGAGAAGCUGCUCAAGAGAUCUCAAAUCAUGGACCCGGGUGUCAUGGCUGAGCUGGAGUGAGAAUUGGAACUGGCCAACAGCAAGGCAGAUUUUGUGUGUGUUAUGUCACUGUGAUCGACCCACCCCAUGCUGGAGGUUGAUGUGAGUUGAGACUGAGAAUGAUGCCCUGUCAGUAAUGAACCCGAACACUCACUCAUGCCUUCAAGAAGUUUAGGUAAGAAAUAAUAUUAUGUUUACCGAAUGAUUGUCUAAGGUGCAAUUUGGAGGUUUUGUGCUUAAAACUAUUCAGUCUAGUUCCUUACUGCAUUGUACACCUUCAACUCACCUGAAAAAACAUUUUUUUAAGCAAAGUAGGAAAGGUACUCAAAUUGACAUCUAGUGUGUGUACAGAGCUUAUGGUCCCACUAUGUACAUGCACUGCUUAUGGCCCCACUAUGUACAUGCACUGCCUAUGGUCCCACUAUG